rnacentral:rRNA from 1 species
GACGAACGCUGGCGGCGUGCUUAACACAUGCAAGUCGAACGGAAAGGCCCUGCUUUUGUGGGGUGCUCGAUUGGCGAACGGGUGAGUAACACGUGAGUAACCUGCCCUUGACUUUGGGAUAACUUCAGGAAACUGGGGCUAAUACCGUAUAGGAGCUCCUGCUGCAUGGUGGGGGGUGGAAAUUUUCGGCGGUUGGGGCUGGACUCGCGGCUUAUCAGCUUGUUGGUGGGGUAGGGGCUUACCCAGGCUUUGGCGGGUAGCCGGCCUGAGAGGGUGACCGGGGACAUUGGGACUGAGAUACGGCCCAGACUCGUACGGGAGGCAGCAGGGGGGAAUAUUGCACAAUGGGCGGAAGCCUGAUGCAGCAACGCCGCGUGCGGGAUGACGGCUUUCGGGUUGUAAACCGCUUUCGCCUGUGACGAAGCGUGAGUGACGGUAAUGGGUAAAGAAGCACCGGCUAACUACGUG